rnacentral:rRNA from 1 species
ACUUAUGUGCGUGGGGUAGGGGAGCGUUCUGUAAGCCGUUGAAGGUGGUCUGUAAGGGCUGCUGGAGGUAUCAGAAGUGCGAAUGCUGACAUGAGUAACGAUAAAGGGAGUGAAAAACUCCCUCGCCGGAAGACCAAGGGUUCCUGUCCAACGUUAAUCGGGGCAGGGUAAGUCGACCCCUAAGGCGAGGCCGAAAGGCGUAGUCGAUGGGAAACGGGUUAAUAUUCCCGUACUUCUUACAAUUGCGAUGGGGGGACGGAGAAGGCUAGGUGGGCCUGGCGACGGUUGUCCAGGUUCAAGUACGUAGGCGGAAGAAUUAGGUAAAUCCGGUUCUUCAUAACGCUGAGAUACGAUGUCGAGCUACUACGGUAGUGAAGUCAUUGAUGCCAUGCUUCCAGGAAAAGCCUCUAAGCUUCAGAUUGUAAGGAAUCGUACCCCAAACCGACACAGGUGGUCGGGUAGAGAAUACCAAGGCGCUUGAGAGAACUCGGGUGAAGGAACUAGGCAAAAUGGUACCGUAACUUCGGGAGAAGGUACGCUCUUAUCAGUGAAGUCCCUUGCGGAUGGAGCAGACGAGAGUCGCAGAUACCAGGUGGCUGCAACUGUUUAUUAAAAACACAGCACUGUGCAAAAUCGUAAGAUGACGUAUACGGUGUGACGCCUGCCCGGUGCCGGAAGGUUAAUUGAUGGGGUUAGACUUCGGUCGAAGCUCUUGAUCGAAGCCCCGGUAAACGGCGGCCGUAACUAUAACGGUCCUAAGGUAGCGAAAUUCCUUGUCGGGUAAGUUCCGACCUGCACGAAUGGCGUAAUGAUGGCCACGCUGUCUCCACCCGAGACUCAGUGAAAUUGAAAUCGCUGUGAAGAUGCAGUGUACCCGCGGCUAGACGGAAAGACCCCGUGAACCUUUACUACAGCUUGGCACUGAACAUUGAACCUACAUGUGUAGGAUAGGUGGGAGACUUUGAAACCGCGUCGCUAGAUGUGGUGGAGUCGUCCUUGAAAUACCACCCUUGUAGUUUUGAUGUUCUAACGUUGGUCCCUGAAUCGGGAUUACGGACAGUGCCUGGUGGGUAGUUUGACUGGGGCGGUCUCCUCCCAAAGAGUAACGGAGGAGCACGAAGGUGGGCUAAACACGGUUGGACAUCGUGUGGUUAGUGCAAUGGCAUAAGCCCGCUUGACUGCGAGAAUGACAAUUCGAGCAGGUGCGAAAGCAGGUCAUAGUGAUCCGGUGGUUCUGAAUGGAAGGGCCAUCGCUCAACGGAUAAAAGGUACUCCGGGGAUAACAGGCUGAUACCGCCCAAGAGUUCAUAUCGACGGCGGUGUUUGGCACCUCGAUGUCGGCUCAUCACAUCCUGGGGCUGAAGUCGGUCCCAAGGGUAUGGCUGUUCGCCAUUUAAAGUGGUACGCGAGCUGGGUUUAGAACGUCGUGAGACAGUUCGGUCCCUAUCUGCCGUGGGCGUUGGAAAAUUGAAGGGGGCUGCUCCUAGUACGAGAGGACCGGAGUGGACGAACCUCUGGUGUUCGGGUUGUCAUGCCAAUGGCAUUGCCCGGUAGCUAAGUUCGGAAUCGAUAACCGCUGAAAGCAUCUAAGCGGGAAGCGAGCCCUGAGAUGAGUUUUCCCUGAC